rnacentral:tRNA from 1 species
AUGAUUCAAUCUUUUGUCUUACAAUUUCUAAAAAACCAAAAUAUUUAAAUCAAAUAAAAAAAAUAUUGUGAAGUAAAUUCAAGGGUUUUAAAAGUAGAAAACAUA